rnacentral:lncRNA from 1 species
CAUACAUACAUACAUACAUAUGUGUGUGUGUGUGUGUGUAUACCCUAACAUAUACACUUUAACGCAUCCUAUAGUGCUGUAGUGUCCUGGAGACUGAAAUCCUGUGAGCAACAUUCCUGUGGAUAAUAUGCUUCCAAAAUGAAGAACAAAGGUAAAAUUCUGAACAAAACAAAGCACAGUCUUCCCUGCAUUCACAGAAGUUGAAUUCUUAGAAAAUUCAGUGGAUAUUAAAACUGUACAACCAAUACUUUGUGUUUGUAUGUUGAGAGGAAUUAGGUUCCGGGUUUAGACAAUUAAAAAUAGGUUUUUCAACCCUUUGGAAAGUCAUGGGAGGAAUGAACCGAGUCUUCCUGGUGUGGAGCUGAGCUCUGCCCUGCAGGAUGCCCAGCCUCCUCCUGCCCAUGGUUGUCAGUAGGGUUCCCAGCCAGCACCCAUCAUUGUGACAACCCCCAAAGCCCCCUAUAUGUUUCCAAAACACCUAUGGGGGUAAUAACUCCCCCUGAGAGCCACUGGCAGAGAAGGUGAGUGGGGUAGAGCAGUGCUUCUCAAACUUCAGAAUCUCCUGGGCUUCUUGCUAAGAUGUGGGAGGUGUGCUGUGGAGCCUGGGACUCUGCAUUUCCACCACAGCCCUCAAGCGAUGUUGGAGAGAUCAGAGGAGAAGGAAAGCAAGUCCUUGUUCUGGGAGCAAGGACUUCACAGAAUAGAAGGGAACACAAACAGGGGCUUGAAGAAUAAACGGCCGUGGAGCUGUUGACCUCCCGGGAGGCCCAGGCUCCUGGGAGGCAGGCACUGGAGAGGUCCGGUAGCAAAAGGUGCCGACAACGGUGCCCGGAGCGAGUAAACAGCCUUGAGUCAACAGCGGCAGUACUGCUCGCCAGGCAGGGUAAAAAUAACAACUCCCUAUCAGGAUUGGGUUGGCCAGACCCUCGUGAGGUUCAUUUCGUUCAAUAAAUCCAGCAGCCUCCCCCUUUGAUAAAUACUGUCAAGGCCGAAACAUGUGGUGCUCACAAAAUAUGGUUUUAAUUUGGGGCCCACUGCACUCACGGUUAAACCCGGUGCGUGUGUAUACAAAAGCCGACGUACAGCCAGCCAAGUUAAUAUGCCUGGGCUGGAAAUGGCUAAACCCAGGAGGAUUCAGUUAUAUAGAUUCUGCUGCUCUGAAAGGCAACCUAAUCACCGUCAUCAAUUUUAAUGCUCCAGAAUUCCGUGUGAACACGGAAGCUUUUAAAGCUCAGCCACUUGUGCAUUUUGCAUCCCAGGCAGAAGCAGCACGCACUUGUUUUCGUGAUAUUUUAUGCCUGCCUUAUUGUCAUAUGUUUGACAUUCAGAACAAACCACGCUGUUUUCAUCAACAACUCGACACUGCAUUAAAACUUGAUGGCCCGUAGCUUUGUAGGAAAGGGAGGUGGGGAUGGAGGGGAAAGCCAGGGUGGGCACAGGAAAUGAGAAUCACAGUUUAGCAACAGACUGAGGCUUGUUCUGGUGGGAUUCGUUCCUGGGAACACAGAAACUCUCAGUGUUUUUGUCAAUCUGCGUGUGCCGGUCUUGGAACAGCUCGGUGAAAGAAGGAAACUGGCUCAACAAGUUUCGGAGGUGGACCCUGCUGGUAACUGGACCUCUGGCUCGUUGUGAAUAAUGAAGAAGUCCGCUCCAUCCACAGGGCAGGUCACAGGAGCUGCACGGAGGCAAGAGCCCAGCAGACCAAAGAUUACAGCACCUGCCCAGUAAUCUUAUCGGGGAAACAAACAAAGCUGAGAAUGAGGUCAGCGGCAGGUGUCCUGGGGCGGUGGGACGCAGAGCAAGUGAGGAAGAUGGGUGGAGAGUGGGGGCAUCUGCCAGAGAAGCUCUAGCCUUUAGAGGACUGGCUCACCAGGAAGGUGAGACUGAGAAAAGUGAGCUGAAUGUCUCAUAAAACAAGCAAGGAGUGAACUGACUUCCCUAAAAAACUAGUGCUUUAUCACAAAGGGCACCUGGGUAUGAAAAAAGAACUGAUGGGGAUUCUUUCCACAGGAAUCUGCCCUGUUGCAUUUUUAAAUUCAUCAGAAGUCUGUUUCUCUUUUUAUCGUUAGAUGUAAUUGCACUGACAGAAAAAACCUGAAAUGCUGUGAGCAGCAACUUCUCAGUCAGUCACUUGUCACGGAAGGAACUUUCCAAGGGGGCGAAGUUUUGUGGAAAUCCUUAAACUUUGAAUAUCCAUGCUUAUUUUAUUUUGUGUGUGUGUGUGUGUGUGGCAAAGUGAGGCACGCCUAUUGUGGAAAAAACAUGAGCUCUUAAAACAUGCAGACAUUUUUGAAAGAUCAGGGUGAGUUCUCUUAAUUGCUUAGGGAAGUCUUGCUGAGCUAGCUUAGAACCAUCGGGUUCAAGCUGGAAGGGGCUGAGGAGCCAUCAUUGAGGACUGAGUGAAUUGAGGGACUCCCAAGGUGUUCUCCAGUGGCCUCUGGGGUCCACUAUGUUUUCUUGGGUUUCCUGGAAGGGGAGAGAAAAGGAAGCCUCCACCUCCCCCACCAAAUGCUGCUGGAUGGUUUGGAGCCAUGGGGGCUGCUGGUCAGUUCACGGCCAAGCCAAGUGAACAUUUAGAAGCAUUGCUGCAUCUGGUGGGUCUUUGUUUUUCCUUGGAUUGCUUCCUCACUUAUGGAAGAGAUGGAGAGGAGGACCUGGCCAUUUAUCCAGGAAAAGAAGUCAGAUCUCUAAUGGUACAGAGAGUGUGUACCAUUAGGAAGAGCAGGGGAUAAGAAGAUUCGUUCGUGAGCAUUCAUCACAGAGAUGAAAUGCUAUAGGGACAAGAGGUCAGAGGGCAUUUAACCCAAACCAAAUUUAUCAAGUGGAACAAGUCUCUAAUUGGAGGCCUGGAUUCCACAUUAAAAAGCCAUUCUCCACUGGAUACCUUUUUAAGAUACCAUGGUGGUAUUGAAAUUUCAUGGAUUUCACUCAUGGCAGGUCCCCAAGCACCAUCACCAUGAAGCAAGGAUACCAUGGAGCACCUGCCUCCAGCAGCCCUGAGCCAAGGGGCUAAGUGGAAAAAGAAACAGUGUUUCUCCUUCAGGCUCCCUGCUUCUCUACUUUGUAAACUUUUAACCUCUUCAAGGUACCUUUCUUCUAGUCUCUUCCAGUAACCAUCUUAGUGGGCGUCAGUUGUUUCUGUCCCAGCAUGUAUCUGCCUUCCAGUGAAGAACCCCCCAGAUAUUUAUCAGGGGAAAGCUGCUCCCCCACUCCCAGUCCCUGAGGAUCUGGUGAAACUGACACCACUUUGACUGCUGGGUGGAGCAUAUGAACCACUCUUAGGCCAAUCACUUCAUCCUAUUUCAUGGCCAUGUAAUUGGUCCUGGAUGGGCACAUGACUCAGGCAGAACCUAUGAGAGGCAGUGAGAUUUUCGUGGGUAUUUCUGGGAAAUAGGCUUGCACUUUCUCCUCUGGACUGGACCCCUGAGAAGAUGCAAGACUGAAUGAACUCUUGCAGUCACAGGAAGCUGAGAUUAAUUCUGUCAAUGCAAUAGACAGGUCUGAAAGCUGGGGCCAAAAAAAGAAAAACUAAUAUUGUGCUAAUACUGUGUGAGCCCUAAAUCCAGCGAUGCCUGGAGCCAGCCCUACCAUGGAAUGUUAAGCUAGGCUUGUCAAUAAAUUCUCCUUUGGCUUAAGCCAAAAUUGUGACAGAUUUCCUACAUUGUAAUCAGAAGACAGAUAUACCCAGGAACCUCUAGUUCUUCAUCAUUAAUGCCUAUCAAAAUUUGCUUUCAGGAAAGGCUUGUCCAUUCUAAAUUAUGAAUGACCAAUCAUGCUUCAGAGUAUGGCUCCUUCAAGAGGAUUUUCAGUUUUCAUCAAACUUUCGUUCAGUAAAUGUUGAGCCUCUUCUGGUGCAAAGAGACAUGGGAGAGUGUACUUGGAGGGAAGGAUAGCCAAACUGUCCCACUGAACUCAAUACUUUAGUGUCUGAUUUUGGCCCAUUCAGAUCGGUUUGCACUUCUGAUCAUGGCUGAGUGAGUAGUAUCUGACUAACCCUUCUGCCAAAAACAGUGAUAAAUUCUCAACCCCAGAUAGGACAAUAACAACAAAAUCUAUCUUAGGGUUCUAGAAAGCAACCAAAAUGGUGGGGUUCUGAAGACAAAAGCAGGAGAAUAUAAUACCAUUGGAAGAAGGGCAUUCCACUGGGUGACAUCCACAUUGCGCAGGCAUUUCUUCUGACAGCCCUCUCCUCCUCCCAGAUGGCAGGAAACAGAGCUCAAGGGGAGAGCGGCAGUCCUAUUGAGCAGAGGAGUUGGAAGUUGUAGUUGGGGGUUUCCACAGCAGCUGGAAACUGGGGAAGAAGGCAUCUUGGAAAGGAGGGGGCCUCAAGGUGGGGCACUCCCAAAUCUAUGUACAAACAGCCCUCAGAUCCUCAGCUGACUCCUGAACUGUGCCUCUGCAGGGUGAGGUGCAGGGAGCUCAGGAAAGAGCAUCAUUGGAAGUUGGAAGGCCAUUUUUAUGGCUGCCUUGUGUUGGGAGAUGGAGCUGAGAGUUCAAUUCCCACCCAGUUAGAGGGCUCUGGUAAGCAUCUAAGACUUUCUAUCGAGAUUACAGAGGGCACACCUUAGGAGUAAGAACUACUUAUUAUUUCCCAGGAAUAAAGGCAAAGCCUAAAUAGACCCACCCUAACAGAGCUUCAUUCCAAUUCUUUAUAACUACACUAUUCAAUAAAAUAACCUCUAGGUACAUGUGGCCUUUGAAAUUUAGUUCAAAUUAAAUAAAAUUUAAAAUGCAGUUCCUGAGUCACACUGGUCAUAUUUUAAAUACAGCCACUUGCGGUUAAUGUCCAUUUCAUUGGGCUGCACAGAGUAUAGACCAUUUCUAUCACAGAAGUUCUAUUGAAAGCUAUAGCUCAAGAGGAUCAAAAUGAUAUGUUAGUAGUUUAACUUGUGACAAAUCUCAACUUUCCUUUCAGAUGGCAGAAUCUAAAAUCUCUUUACUAUCCAUAAAGCUCAGUAAACAAUUUUAAAAAAUUACUAAAUGUGCAAAGAAGAAGGAAAAUGCAAUCCACAGUGAAGAGAAACAAUAGUCAAUAAGCACAGACCCACAUAUGACUCAGAUGUUAGCACUAACAAAGUCUUAAUAAUUAUGAUAAAAAAUUUAAGAAAUCUUUGGGAAAAUAUGCAUAUAUUAGGUGAAGAGAUGGGAAACUUCAAAAGUAGUAUGAAAAAAUUAAAAAAAUAAUCAAAUGGAAAUCCUGGAACUGAAAAAUAUAUCAAAUUGAAAACUCACUGGUUAGGUACAAUGAACACAAUACAUGAAAUUACAAACAAGUGAAUUUACCGACAAGUCAAUGGGAAUUAUCUAAACAAAGAGGGAUAAAAAGAUUAAAAGAAAAAGAACAAGGCCUUAUUACCUGUGGGACAGUAUCAAGCAAUCUGAAUUACAUGUAAUUAGAGUCCCAGAAGGAGAGGAGAGCAGAUGAAGUAGAAAAAAAUAUUUGAAGAAAUAUUGGAAAAAUUUCAAACCUGGUUAAAAAAAUUACAACCUCAGAAACUCCAAAUAGGAUAGUUUCAGCCAUUUAGAUGUCUUUGACUCCAAACCCAGCCUUACCCACUCAACUGACAAGACACAGAAGAACUUCUGAAAGUGCAAUAGGGCCUGGGAUAGGAUUAUUCAGGGACAGCACUGAUGCUGACAAAGUUUCAAAGAUCUCUUCCCAGAAUUUUGCUGACUCCAAAAAGCAACAGAUUACGCUUUUCUGAGCCAGUUGUGAUCUGACAUUCCUCUUUCAGGCUACCCUGAGAUGGGGUCUUCACACAUUUUGCAUUGAUUUGACUCCAGUUUUUUAUUUUAUUUUGUUUUUAUUUAUUUAUUUAUUUAUUUAUGUCUUUUUUUAAGGCCGCACCUGCAGCAUAUGAAAGUUCCCAGGCUGGGAGGUCUCCUGGAGCUGUGGCUGCCGGCCUAUACCACAGCUGCAGCAACUCGGGAUAUGAACCACAUCUGUGACCUAUACCACAGCUCACGGCAAUGCCAGAUCCUCAACCCACUGAGCGAGGCUAGGGAUUGAACCUGCAUCCUCAUGGAUACUAGCUGGGUUCAUUACUGCUGAGCCACAACUGGAAUUCCCCAAUUCCAGUUUAAAUUCAACUUGAAGGAGUUCCCGUCAUGGCGCAGUGGUUAAUGAAUCCGACUAGGAACCAUGAGGUUGCGGGUUCGAUCCCUGCCCUUGCUCAGUGGGUUAACGAUCUGGCGUUGCCGUGAGCUGUGGUGUAGGUUGCAGACGCGGCUCGGAUCCUGAGUUGCUGUGGCUCUGGCAUAGGCUGGCAGCUACAGCUCCGAUUAGACCCCUAGCCUGGGAACCUCCAUAUGCUGCGGAAGCGGCCCAAGAAAUG